rnacentral:rRNA from 1 species
AAAAAAAGUUAAAAACUUUCAACAACGGAUCUCUUGGCUCUAGCAUCGAUGAAGAACGCAGCGAAAUGCGAUAAGUAAUGUGAAUUGCAGAAUUCAGUGAAUCAUCGAAUCUUUGAACGCACAUUGCGCCUGGCAGUAUUCUGCCAGGCAUGCCUGUC